rnacentral:misc_RNA from 1 species
UGAACGACAGAAGGAAUGCAGCUAACAUAUGGAUUAGUUCCCACAUAAUUGAUCCGAAAAAUCUCUAAAAGAGCUUCAUUACAAGUUGGCUUCUUCAGAAAUCCAGCACCAAAUGCUCUGGUUACUUUUAACUGCCCCUUCACUCGAUCUUUCAAAAUGACUUGGUUGUCAUCAGGAUGUUCUGCCUUUACUCUAAACACUUCCUGUUCAAUACUCGUGCUGUGAUCUGUGGAAAGUUGAACUGCCCUCAUCUUCAAUCUGCAAAUAGAGAUCUCUCUAUUUUUGUUGAUCAUAUUAACCUGACUAUUUUGAUUAUGCAUUGGGGACUCCUCAGAAAUUCUGUCCAGCUCCAUGCGUACUAAUGACUCUCUGGAUCUGUUCCUGUGCCUUAUGUCAUCCUUGGCUAAACUUGGAUUUAGAUGGCGAUCAUUCGGCCUCUCCUGUGCCAAGAUUGCUCGGCUAUCCCCAAGGUUCAUAACAUACACAUCUUGAUCCUUCAUUAACAUCACAAGAACACAAGAUCCCAUCAAAGCAAGCUCUGCAUUUUUAUCAAGGGUCCUUUCCACCAUCUGCAUAUAUGCCUCUUCAGUGCGUUCAAGUGCUUGAGACAUUGCUCUUAAAACUGCAUCAUGAUCAACAACUCCUGAUUUACAUCUCCUGAUAGGUCUGGGAGGUUCUACAACUCUCUCAUCAGCACAGAUCUCCUCUCUAUGCCAAUCAUAACUCCAAGGAAAGAGUUUCUUACGCAAGGACUUCUGCUUCCUAUACAUUUUUCUGAUCUUUGAACUAAUAAUAGACUUUCU